rnacentral:rRNA from 1 species
UACGGGGGGAGCAAGCGUUGUUCGGAUUUACUGGGCGUAAAGGGCUCGUAGGUGGCCAACUAAGUCACACGUGAAAUCCCUCGGCUUAACCGGGGAACUGCGUGUGAUACUGGAUGGCUUGAGUUUGGGAGAGGGAUGCGGAAGUUCCAGGUGUAGCGGUGAAAUGCGUAGAUAUCUGGAGGAACACCGGUGGCGAAGGCGGCAUCCUGGACCGGUAUUGACGCUGAGGCGCGAAAGCCAGGGGAGCAAAGCGGG